rnacentral:lncRNA from 1 species
GUUCUGCUCUGUGUGAGGAAGCACCGGCUUAGUUUGAAUUUAAGCAAACUCAUCGUGCACUGAGAUCCAGGACUCCCACUGACUCACCGAUAGACGUAAUAUGCUGUAUGUACUCCUUCCCAAUCAAGGAAGCCAUUAUGAAGAAGGCCAGAGUGAGACCCUUUUGGGAGUACAGAGGAGCACAGGUAUCACUUUAUAAUGACCUGUCACCCCUCACGCUGGAGGCAUGACGCGCCCUGUGCCCUGUAAC